CACGCUGUAAACGAUGGGUACUAGGCUUCGUGGGAGUUGACCCCUGCGGAGCCGGAGCUAACGCAAUAAGUACCCCGCCUGGGAAGUACGGUCGCAAGACUAAAACUCAAAGGAAUUGACGGGAGCCCGCACAAGCGGUGGAUUAUGUGGUUUAAUUCGAAGCAACGCGCAGAACCUUACCUAGGUUUGACAUCCUUUGACAACUAGAGAGAUCUAGCUUUUGUAGCAAUACAACAAAGUGACAGGUGC
rnacentral:rRNA from 1 species